ACGCUGCUGUCGUGAACUGCUGUGUACGAGUGUCUGUUCGGUCACCUGUCGUGUACAGAGAUCCCUGCUUUCAACCCCUUUGGGUAGAUGGAUACCCAGCAGUGGAACUGCUGGGCCCGAUGGUGGCUCCGGUGUGAUUUUCUGAAGGGCUGCUGAACGGUUUUCCACAGCAGCUGCUCUAAUUCACCGUCUCACCAGCCGAGCACGGGGCUCCGGUCUCUCCACAUCUUGGCCAGCGCCUGGGCGAGGCACUGGACCCGGCCAUCAUCAGCCCGGACCCCAGGUGGACCCCAGGUGAACGUCUCCAUUGCUGUAGCGGCCCACGAGCCGACGCCCUCAACAGCCCGACGCAGAGGAGGAUGAGUUCACGUUACCCCAGGGUGAAGACCAAGGCCUAGACCGCGUUGGGGUUUGGGGGCCUGAGGAGGUGCGGGCCGGAGCCCGGCGGCUGAGUGUGGGGCUGAGUGAGGGAUGUGCCUGUGGCUAAGUCCGCGCGGCUGGUCCUGGCUGCAGGGGGUUUUGUGUGUUUGUGAGAGUUCGCGUGUGCCAGCCGUUGUGUGCGUUUGUGGGAGGUGUAGACGGACGUGUUUAGGGCUAAUAGGACUGAGGAGCUGGGCUGCCUGGGUUGGAGUCUGGCUUCUGCCACUUAGACACCCUGGGCCUUGGGCCAUGGCCCACAUUCUUCCUGCCUUGAUACCCUUUUGCAUUGUGGAUUCAUUCAUCUCUCAAAUAUUUACUGAGCACCUGCGGUGUGCUAGGCACUACUCGGGGCCCUGGAGGUCAUAGCCGUGAACAAAACAGACACAGAUCCCUGCUCUGCUGGGCCAGGCCAACAAUAAAGAUAAUGAAUUCAGUA